rnacentral:rRNA from 1 species
AGUGAACGCUGGCGGUAGGCCUAACACAUGCAAGUCGAACGGCAGCACAGUAAGAGCUUGCUCUUACGGGUGGCGAGUGGCGGACGGGUGAGGAAUACAUCGGAAUCUACUUUUUCGUGGGGGAUAACGUAGGGAAACUUACGCUAAUACCGCAUACGACCUACGGGUGAAAGCAGGGGAUCUUCGGACCUUGCGCGAUUGAAUGAGCCGAUGUCGGAUUAGCUAGUUGGCGGGGUAAAGGCCCACCAAGGCGACGAUCCGUAGCGGGUCUGAGAGGCUGAUCGGCCACACUGGAACUGAGACACGGUCCAGACUCCUACGGGAGGCAGCAGUGGGGAAUAUUGGACAAUGGGCGCAAGCCUGAUCCAGCCAUACCGCGUGGGUGAAGAAGGCCUUCGGGUUGUAAAGCCCUUUUGUUGGGAAAGAAAAGCAGCAGGUUAAUACCCCGCUGUUCUGACGGUACCCAAAGAAUAAGCACCGGCUAACUUCGUG